rnacentral:piRNA from 1 species
ACAGCGAGCGCCUGACUCUGAAGCUUG